rnacentral:rRNA from 1 species
AUUGAACGCUGGCGGCAGGCCUAACACAUGCAAGUCGAGCGAGCGGCGGACGGGUGAGUAAUGUAUGGGGACUGCCCGAUAGAGGGGGAUAACUACUGGAAAUGGUGGCUAAUACCGCAUACUAUCGGAUAACCCAUAUGGGAUUAGCUAGUAGGUGGGGUAAAGGCUCACCUAGGCGACGAUCUGUAGCUGGUCUGAGAGGAUGAUCAGCGACACUGGGAUGGGGAAAGGGCCCAGACUCCUGCGGAAGCAGAAGUGGGAAAUAUUGCACAGUGGGCGCAGGCCUGAUGCAGCCAUACGGGGUGUAUGUAGAAGGCCUUAGGGUUGAAAAGUACGUUAAGCGGGGAGGCGUUACCCGCAGAAGAAGCACCGGCUAACUCCGUGACAGCAGCCGCGGUAAUUC